GACGAACGCUGGCGGCGUGCUUAACACGUGCAAGUCGAACGGAAAGGCCCUGCUUUUGUGGGGUGCUCGAGUGGCGAACGGGUGAGUAACACGUGAGUAACCUGCCCUUGACUUUGGGAUAACUUCAGGAAACUGGGGCUAAUACCGGAUAGGAGCUCCUGCUGCCUGGUGGGGGUUGGAAAGUUUCGGCGGUUGGGGAUGGACUCGCGGCUUAUCAGCUUGUUGGUGGGGUAGUGGCUUACCAAGGCUUUGACGGGUAGCCGGCCUGAGAGGGUGACCGGCCACAUUGGGACUGAGAUACGGCCCAGACUCCUACGGGAGGCAGCAGUGGGGAAUAUUGCACAAUGGGCGGAAGCCUGAUGCAGCAACGCCGCGUGCUGGAUGACGGGCUUCGGGUUGUAACCCGCUUUCGCCUGUAACGAAGCGGGAGUGACGGUAAUGGGUAAAGAAGCACCGGCUAACUACGUG
rnacentral:rRNA from 1 species